CCCCUCUCAGGGUUGCAGCUGAAAAGUUUCCCAUAUUCAAUCAGUCUCGGCUACGGGAGGGAAAGUCAAGCAGAGGCCUACCCAUUCCAUUCCCAGCUUGGCCAGUGGCUAGUGAGUGGAAGGCAAUCUGCUAUAAAU